ensembl:snRNA U6 U6 spliceosomal RNA
GUGCUUGCUUCGCCAGCAUAUAUACUGAAAUUGAAACAAUACAGAGAAGAUUAGCAUGGCCCUUGCGCAAAAAUGACACGCAAAUUUGUAAAGCGUUCCAUAUUUUU